rnacentral:rRNA from 1 species
UACGAGUGCCCCGAGCGUUAUCCGGAAUCAUUGGGCGUAAAGGGUGUGUAGGUGGCAGUGUUAGUCAGUUGUUAAAACCUGGGGCUUAACCCCAGAUCCGCGACUGAAACGGCACAGCUAGAGGAUGGCAGGGAUCUGUGGAACUCAUGGAGUAGGGGUGAAAUCCGUUGAUAUCAUGGGGAACACCGAAAGCGAAAGCAGCAGAUUGGGCCACUCCUGACACUGAAACACGGAAGCGUGGGUAGCGAAUGGG